UUCGUAGGGGGCGAGCGUUGUCCGGAUUUAUUGGGCGUAAAGAGCUCGUAGGCGGCUUGGCAAGUCGGGUGUGAAACCUCCAGGCUUAACCUGGAGACGCCACUCGAUACUGCCAUGGCUAGAGUCCGGUAGGGGACCACGGAAUUCCUGGUGUAGCGGUGAAAUGCGCAGAUAUCAGGAGGAACACCGGUGGCGAAGGCGGUGGUCUGGGCCGGCACUGACGCUGAGGAGCGAAAGCGUGGGUAGCAAACAGG
rnacentral:rRNA from 1 species